AGAGUUUGAUCCUGGCUCAGAACAAACGCUGGCGGCGUACUUAACACAUGCAAGUCAAACGAGAAAGGGAGCUUCGGCUCCUGAGUAAAGUGGCGAACGGGUGCGUAACACGUAAGUAAUCUACCUUAGACUCUGGAAUAACUCUCCGAAAGGGGGGCUAAGGCUGGAUAGGGUCCUCGAGGUGUAGGUCGCGAGGGGAAAGCAGGCCUCUAUUAUAAGCUUGCGGUCUAGGAUGAGCUUGCGUCCCAUUAGUUUGUUGGUGAGGUAACGGCUCACCAAGACGACGAUGGGUAGCUGGUCUGAGAGGAUGAUCAGCCACACUGGGACUGAGAUACGGCCCAGACUCCUACGGGGGGCAGCAGCAAGGAAUAUUGGACAAUGGGCGCAAGCCUGAUCCAGCAACGCCGCGUGGAGGAAGAAGGCUUCGGUUGUAAACUCCUUUUGUGAGGGAUGAGACAAGGACAGUACCUCACGAAUAAGUCACGGCUAACUAGGUGCCAGCAGCCGCGGUAACACCUAGGUGACAAGCGUUAUCCGGAUUUACUGGGCGUAAAGGGCUCGAAGGCGGCAGCUCAAGUCCGGCGUGAAAUCUCCUGGCUUAACCAGGAGGGGUCGUCGGAUACUGUGCUGCUAGAGGCAGUGAGAGGGGUGCGGAAUUCUCGGUGGAGUGGUGGAAUACGUAGAUAUCGAGAGGAACACCAGUGGCGAAAGCGGCGCCCUGGCACUGACCUGACGUUCAUGAGCGAAAGCGUGGGGAGCGAACGGGAUUAGAUACCCCGGUAGUCCACGCUGUAAACGAUGAGUACUAGGUGUAGGCGACAACCGUGGUCUGUGCCGAAGCUAACGCGAUAAGUACUCCGCCUGGGGACUACGGCCGCAAGGCUAAAACUCAAAGGAAUUGACGGGGACCCGCACAAGCAGCGGAGCGUGUUGUUUAAUUCGAUGUAACGCGAAGAACCUUACCUGGGUUUGACAUGUGCGUAGUAGUGAAGCGAAAGCCGAACGACCCUUCGGGGAGCGUACACAGGUGUUGCAUGGCUGUCGUCAGCUCGUG
rnacentral:rRNA from 1 species